UACGGAGGGUGCAAGCGUUAAUCGGAAUGACUGGGCGUAAAGGGUGCGUAGGUGGGGAUAUAAGUCAUAGGUAAAAUCACUGGGCUCAACCUGGUGUGGAAUUGUGAUACUGUAUUUCUAGAGUAUAGGAGAGGGUAGUGGAAUUUCCGGUGUAGCGGUGAAAUGCGUAGAGAUCGGAAGGAACACCGGUGGCGAAGGCGGCUACCUGGCCAUAUACUGACACUGAGUCACGAAAGCGUGGGGAGCAAACAGGAUUAGAUACCCUGGUAGUCCACGCUGUAAACGAUGUCAACUAGCCGUAUUUCAUAUAGAGAUGGGGUGUGGCGCAGCAAACGCGAUAAGUUGACCGCCUGGGGAGUACGGUCGCAAGAUUAAA
rnacentral:rRNA from 1 species